CUGGCGGCGUGCUUAACACAUGCAAGUCGAACGAGGGUGUUCGAGAGCUUGCUCUGGGACAGCCGAGUGGCGGACGGGUGAGUAACGCGUGAGCAACCUGUCUCACACAGGGGGAUAACGCAUCGAAAGAUGUGCUAAUACCGCAUAAGACCACGGGAGGGCAUCCUUUUGAGGUCAAAGGAGCAAUCCGGUGUGAGGUGGGCUCGCGUCUGAUUAGAUAGUUGGUGAGGUAACGGCCCACCAAGUCAACGAUCAGUAGCCGACCUGAGAGGGUGAUCGGCCACAUUGGGACUGAGACACGGCCCAGGCUCCUACGGGAGGCAGCAGUGGGGAAUAUUGGGCAAUGGGCGCAAGCCCUGACCCAGCAACGCCGCGUGAGGGAAGAAGGUUUUCGGAUUGUAAACCUCUGUCCUAUAUGAAGAGAUAGAGACGGUAGUAUAGGAGGAAGCCCCGGCUAACUACGUGCCAGCCGCCGC
rnacentral:rRNA from 1 species